rnacentral:rRNA from 1 species
CCUACGGGAGGCAGCAGUGAGGAAUAUUGGUCAAUGGGCGAGAGCCUGAACCAGCCAAGUCGCGUGAGGGAGUACUGCCCUAUGGGUUGUAAACCUCUUUUGUCGGGGAGCAAAAGCCGGACGUGUCCGGCUGUGAGAGUACCCGAAGAAAAAGCAUCGGCUAACUCCGUGCCAGCAGCCGCGGUAAUACGGAGGAUGCGAGCGUUAUCCGGAUUUAUUGGGUUUAAAGGGGGCUCAGGCGGAUUUUUAAGUCAGCGGUAAAAUCGUGGGGCUCAACCCCAUCCAGCCGUUGAAACUGGGGAUCUAGAGUGUGCGAGAGGUAUGCGGAAUGCGUGGUGUAGCGGUGAAAUGCAUAGAUAUCACGCAGAACCCCGAUUGCGAAGGCAGCAUACCGGUGCACAACUGACGCUCAGGCACGAAAGCGUGGGUAUCGAACAGGAUUAGAUACCCUAGUAGUC